ensembl:lncRNA
GGUAUGAAGAGGCAGCGAUGGCGGACCGGAUCUGAGCUAGCGUACAUGAGCGGAGAGACACCCCCCCCGCCCCCCCGCGCCAGCUUUUAAUUGCUGUUAUGAACAGAUUUGACGGGAUUGACGCGUCUCGGCGUCUCGGCUGUGGCCCGUGGCGUCGCCCUGCACUUCUGGAGGCCGCGUCCGAGCGAAGCUCGUCUGCAUCGAUUCAUCCGGUUUGAGGAGACGAUAUCGACCAAAGUCCUCAUCGAGCGGAGGCGAAGCGAAAGGAGCGUUAAGAGGUGGUCGAACGCUACGGAGGAGGAUGGCCACAGGCUGCGGAAUCUCCUCUGAUCUUCGCUUGUCUGAUUCUCAAAUGCAACUCUUUCUCUGGGGGGGGGGGGGGGGGGGGGGCGCAUGUGGAUAUAGAAAUAGGCCAAUGUCACAGAACGCUCAUCUAACCCUGGAGGGAAAUAAAGAAGAAGGCCUAAAACCUAAAUCUCUGCGGAUGGAGCUUCGCCUCCGUCGCUCCGGCUCAACGUGCUCGGGCUGAGCGGCGGCCGCUAGGAUAGCGAAGGUAAUCUUCGGUCGUGUCACUCAGGCCCCGGAGGACGGAGGGGGGGGGAGAGGAGAGCGAGCGAGACGGAGCCGCCCGUCAUCUUUGAGACCGCGUCAGAUGGUCACCGACCAGCGAGCGCGGCGGCUAUCGACAGUCCCGGUGCAUCCUGGUCUAUUACCACAUAUGUAACAUGAAGAAACGAGGCGGCGCUUUGUCCUCACAGACGUGUCUCACUGGGAGUGAGGACGAGGACACGAGGCCUGGACAGAGAGCCGAGGACAGAAACGUGUGUGUUUUUGGGAGGGUAGUUCGGAAGGCAGGGAAGGGGAGGGGGGGGGGGGCGAGGGACCCGGUAGUAUUUCCACAUGAGCACACCUACCCCCCCCCCCCCCCUCCUCUCCUCCUCCCGCCAACCCGUGUAUCCUUAAAGGGAUGAAAAGCAGGGACAAAGGAAUUAAAAUAUAGAUUACUCAAGUGGCCACCCUGCGCCUUAUCGGCCCAAAACCAAAAAAUCUAACAAAUUGGAUCAGGCGUCGGGGGGUGUGGGGGGGGGGGGGGGGGCGAGAGGAGAUAACUUAUGAUGUAAUCAGGACUUUUAAAGACACUUUAUUUGAUAAAAAUGUGACUUCUCAGACCUCAGUUUGAGUGUAACUAUUUGAACGCACAGGUCGAAGUUCAAGUAUUGUUAGCGUGUGUCAGUGUGUGUCAGUGUGUGUCAGUGUGUGUCAGUGUGUAUCAGUGUGUGUCAGUGUGUAUCAGUGUGUGUCAGUGUGUGACAGCAGAGCGCGGAGGAACAUUCGGACGACUCACCUGUAUCUUCGGAGUGACGACGUCUUGUUCUGAUUCAGACGGUGACCUCUGACCCUCAGAGCAGGCGGCCAUGUGCGCUUCUUCUGACCCGUUGUCGUGCAGGUUCAGACCACGCGCGUGUGUGUGUGUAUUUCUGUGUGACUUCACGCCACAGCUCCCUGCAACAAAAAACAUUGGGUGAUAAGACGAGAGAUGAUCCAACUUGUAUUUUUUUGGUCUCAAAACUUCCCCACUUGAAAUACUCGACGGGAAACCAUUGACGUUGCUUAAAAACUUUUAUCUUACAAUUCUACAAUUACUGAACAUAAUAUUGCAUGACAUUCGCCAAACAAGAUGUUUCAUAUUUUGACUCAAAGAUAAAAUAUGAAAUCACAAAUAAAAAGUUCCAGUUUUAAUAUUGUUAGUUCAAUAGAAAAAGAGGACAAUAGAUACUUUGGUAGCUCUUCAUAUUAUCUGGGCUACAGAUACAGAAAAUGCCAAACAGAUGAAUCUAAUGCUGUUAAUUCCACUUGUAAAUAUAUGCAGUGAAAAGAAAAAGAAGCCAAUGCAUCCUGAAGAGAGCGCGUCGUCAGAGUUAGAAAGUUUUCUCGUAGUUCUUUUUUCAACUGUCAGCAGUACAUUUAUGACAAUACCAAUCUCUUCCAUGCACACACACACACACACACAAAAACACACAAACAUACACACACAGGCAAUUACACAUCACAAGCGAUUACACAAAAUACUCAAAGAUUACAUCCGCUGAAACCCGAUGUCCUUUGCGGGUUUAAAGGCUGCACGUCAGCCUCUCAAAAAAUGUUUCUCUUUCCCCUGCAUGGGUCAGAGGCUGUUGCUAGGCUACCAAACCCAGAACCCAUAAGUUCAGAGAAAGGGUUUAUGUAGGCCAUUGCAAUUCAAGGUAAAAGGAUGAUAUAAAAUUGAUACCGCUGGAAUAUAGGGACUCCGGUGAGAUGGAAUCAAAUGAGCCAUGAAUAGUUUUCAGAUCUGAAUGGAAGUCUAGUAAUACGGAUAAUAGUGAUGAUAAUAACAAUAAUAGCAAUAAUAAUGAGGAUGAUAACAUCGGUAAUACAAACAGUAAAAAUAGUUAUUUUUAAGUAAAUACUUUCUCAAAUAUAAUAAGAUUUAAAAUAUAGAAAAAUGCAUUCCGGGAAGUAAAUUCAAUAAUUAGAAAAAUUAACUGUGUAACUGUAAAAAUAAAUACAAUUUUGAAAAGAUUUACCCUAAUGUGGUGUCUGUUGUGCUGGAAGAUACUACACAAAGCACAGGAGGACACACUUAUGCAGAGAACAAAACAUCGCACACACACACACACACACACACACACACACACUCAAACGCACAGCUCUACAUUCCAGUGGCCGGGUCGGGAUAACAUCUGUAGGACGCCAGCUUUGUUCCGGCGCACAACAAACAAACAAACACUCGCAGCAUAUAUGCAACAAACGGCACUACAAGGUGGAAAUAUUCAACGCCAUCGGUACGGAGAAAGAGGGGUGAAGGAAGAAGAGGUGGGGGGG